CAUGUUCUGGUUUAAUUGGGAAAUCUCUCCUUUGACUUUCAGAAUAGCAUAGAAGCAGAAACUCUGAGUCUAAACAGACCUAGAUUCUGAACAGAGCUGAUGCUACUUGGAGAAGACUGGAGAAGCAGUAAGAAACCAAGGGUGACCGAGAGGCAGGGAUGUCUCUGGAAGAAGUGAGCAGCUGGCAUUCUUCCUCCUGGCAACCAUGAAUUUGCUUUUUGUAUGCAGAGAUUUGCCUUGACUGUUCAUUUCAUUCUGUACUUAUGACCUUGUGUGGACUACCUUAGGACUGACUGACAGAGGCAGAAAUGCCUAGUGCCUGCACUAUGGAGAGAUAGUAUGAUAGAUGAGGACUCUCCGGAAGUAGAUGGCAGCAGCACUGUGGAUUAUUUCUAGGAUAUUCCUGAACGAGAGUGGUUAGGGCAAUGUUUUGACUAUGUGUUUGGAGAUUUGGAAGGAGCAUGAUUGGACCAAAUGAGAACAAAUGUUACUUUGCUUUCCCAUGGACUAAGUUUAUAUAUUGAAAAUAUAAUAAACUAGGUGGAUCACAAGCAAUGGAAAUUAGUUUCAGAAGCUAAGAGUUUCAUGGUCAAGGCAGCAGCAGAUCGUUUCUGGAUAAAAUAAAACAGCACUGGGACAUUGGCUGCUCUGAAUUACAGGAGGUAAUUGAUCAUGUAUGCUUUCUGUAGGCUGAAGAUAGGAAAUGACCGUACUGCUUAAUUUGGAUGCUUCUUGUAAUCCAUCUGCAUGAGUGUCCAGACAUCUGGGGGCAAGAGACUUAUAUAUUGAUGAAACAAAUCUCAGCCUAUGGGGAAUCUCCAACUGAAAAUCUCCAGAAGGAAGUAAAUAUAUGGAUACAUUUUCCUACUGCUAUUAGGACACUUACAGAGUCCCAACUUACCCUGGUAGUAGAAUGUGAUUCCUGUGGUGUGUUCUACAAAGCCCUUUCACUACUAAGCAUACGUGUAUGUGUGCUUAAAUCAGACAGUAUACAGACCAACAAUUGAUCUCUGCAAGUGAAAUCAAAAUGCCGGCCAGCAAGAGGUCAUUUUAAGAGCAUUUCAUCUUAAAUCAGUGGCAUGCUCUUCUCCCUAUUUGAUGUUGGGAGGAGUUUCAUGACCUUCAAGGGACUCUCAUUGUCAGGGCUUAUUUCCGUGGACCCCAGGCUUCAUGAAUUUGCAUUGUGCAUUUGUGAUUGGCUCAUGCUGGAUUGAUUGUAUCAACACUAUAUCCACCUAGGGAUGGAGCCAGUAUACAAUGUAAUGGCAGAAAGGUGUGUCUCUCUCUCUUUCGAAUAUCCACCUUAUUGAUUGCAGCCACCAUGAACUGAGGCCUCCCAUGCAAACCAACCUUGGAGCCAACUGAGUAUAGACCCAAAUCUCCAAAAACUGUAAGAAAUAAACCUUUGUGUUCCCAACUUUGGGCAUUAGGUCUUUUGUCUCAACAAUGAAUGAAAAAUAACUAUACAGAAUUUGAUACCAAGGAAUGGGUCAUUGCUGUGACUAUACCUGACCAUGUUUUUUGAGAGGCUUUGGAAAUGGCUUCUGGGUAGAAAUGGAAAAGUUCAGACAUGUUACCUGUAUGCAUAGAGCUGGAGCAGCUUAGGCUGUUCUGUAGAGGAGAUUCUGGUCAGAGUUCAGGAGACCAGAAGGCUGAUAGAAAGCCUGAUGACCAGGCUUGGAAGGUUUCUUCUGGGAAAAAGGACUCAUUGGUUGUUGGACUUCCCAUGAUGUGUGUAUGGCUUGGCAAAGAGUUUGUCUGCAUUUGCUCAUGCCAAGAGGUAUUACCUGAGGCUGAGAUUAAGAGCAAUGGACUGAUUAAUCUGGCAAAGGAAAUUUCAAGGCUGUCAAAUGUGGAGGUGGUGGCAUGGCUAUUUUGGGGGCUUUUAGCCAGAUAUAUGUUGAAAAUCAAGAAGAGCCCCCCAGGAUAAUUUUAAAAGCUGUGAGUUUGGCCAGAAGGAAAACUCCAGUAAAGCUGUGCAUUGUAAAGAUAGAGCUGAGAUUUCGAUUGCUGAAAAGGAACAGAGAAAUGAGAAAGAUGGCCAGAGGGCAUCCCAGGAAGCAGUAGGUCUCUGUCCUUUGCAGCCUCAAACUGCAAAAGUGAAAGAACUUGCUGAGAGGAGAAAGCUUCACAGCACCAUGCUCCAAACUGACAAGAGAGGUUCCAGAAUGGCAGCAGUCAAAUGAGAUUCCAGAAUGGCAGCAACAUGGAGAAGCUUUUCCUCACAAUCAGGAAAACAGCUUCCAGUAAUCCAUGCACUUUGAAAAGCCUGGCUACAGCUCUAGCUGGCAGCAAACUUUGGUGGCAUACACAUAGUGCUUAUGUUAGGUGCAAGGAAAAUGCACAAAUUUGGAGGGUAAGACAGCUUCUACCUUAAUUGCAAAGGGCCUGGGAGGCCAAGCAGUGUGCCCCUGAGAGGGCAAUUUGUGAAGAUGUAAGGGUGAAGCCAAAGAUGCAAUGGAAACCCCAGAAGUUUGGAAAAGCCAGGAACAUGAAUCAUCCAAGGAAAGUUGCAAAAAGCGGGAAGAGAGGGUUUAAGAGAGAGAAGCUGUGGGACUGAAAUCCCUGGAAGUGCCAUGAGGGUGAAAUCACCCAAGCCUUUUGGAGCUUGCAGCCAGAUUGCUUCAAAUGCUGAGCAUGGAAAUGUAGGACUUAAUGUUCACCCUGUGAGAUGUUGGACUUGCUUUGUUUCCAAUGCUUUAUAUUCCCUUGUUUGUAACUUUUGGAAUUGCAGUGCUUAUCUUGUGCAUUUGCAUUUCAGAAAUGUAUAACCUUUUUUCAUUUAUACAGGAGGCUACAGUUAAGAGGUUGCCAUAGAUAUCAGAAGAGAUUUGGGACUUAGACCUCUCAGCAAUGCUGAAAAUGUUAGAACUUUGGCAACAUUGGAGAUGGACUAAAUGUCUUUUGUAUAAAGGAUGUACAUGAGUCUUUGGGGGCUAGAGGUGGAAUGUCAUGGUUAUGUCAGUGCCCCUCAGGCCUCAUGCAUUCACAUUGUGCAUUUAUGAUUGGUUCAUUGUCUAGCACUUGUAUUGAUGGUGGCAGUGCUACACCCACCCAGGGGUGGAGCCAGCAUACAAUGUAAUGACAGAAAGAAGGUGUGUCUCUCUCUCCUUCAGCUUUGUGCCUUGAUGCUUGCAGCUACCAUGAACCAAGGCCCACCAUACCACCCAGCCUUGGAGCCAACUGAGUAUGGACUGAAACCUCCAAAAACUGUAGGAAAUAAACAUUUGUGUUCCCAACUUUGGGCAUCAGGUCUUUUGUCUCAACGAUGAGUAAAAAGUAACUAAGACACUCAUCUUCACUGUUGUGCUUAGCACAAAAAGUUACUGGAACUGUGGGAAGGGAAAAAAGACUGGUGACAAUCUACUCAGAAAGAUAAAAAUCAUCCUCUUUUAAGAAUAUGAAAAAGGCAGCAUGAUCCUGAGUGAACUUUAAUAUUUCUCUUUCUGAAAAGGAAUGGAUGCUCAGUAAUUAGUGAUUAUGAUGGAAAAUAUGUUCUAUUGUUGUUUUGUUUUGUUUAUUAAUAAGAGGUCAACUCCAUAUUGGAUUUCCAUUUCCAAAUAGAUGACUGGAUGUAUUCAGUCAGCCUUCUGAGAUGUUACAGAACAAGAUAAAUUUUGAAAAAAGUUUGAAAUUUACUCUAUUGUUUACUCCUUUAUUGAUGCAUAUUUCUUCAUGUACUAAUAUUUACAAAAAAGUUCAUAAUAAAGUUUACAAUUAAUAUUAA